GCAUUGGUGGUUCAGUGGUAGAAUUCUUGCCUUCCAUACAGAGACCUGGGUUUGAUUUCUGGCCAAUGCG
rnacentral:tRNA from 1 species